rnacentral:rRNA from 1 species
CGGCGGACGGUGAGUAACACGUGGACAAUCUGCCCCCCGGCCCGGGAUAGCCCAGGGAAACCUGGAUUAAUACCGGAUGAGACGGGACCCGCGAUGGCGGGAUCCGGGAAAGGCGCUGCGGCGCCGCCGGGGGAUGAGUCUGCGUCCCAUUAGCUAGACGCGGGGUAACGGCCCACCGUGGCGACGAUGGGUAGCCGGCCUGAGAGGGUGGACGGCCACAUUGGAACUGAGACACGGUCCAGACUCCUACGGGAGGCAGCAGCUAAGAAUCUUCCGCAAUGGGCGAAAGCCUGACGGAGCCGACGCCGCGUGAACGAAGAAGGCCGUGAGGUUGUAAAGUUCUUUUCGGGAGGGGGAACAACCGUGGCAGGGAAUGGCCGCGGGAUGACGUGAAUCCCGGAAUAAGCCCCGGCUAACUACGUGCCAGCCGCGGC